CAAAUGCUGUAUGAUGAAAAAAAAAGAGUGAUCCAUCAUCUGAGGCUCAGUGCUGACAUUUAAAUUGUCUGACAGCAUUUU